rnacentral:rRNA from 1 species
UACGGAGGGUGCAAGCGUUACUCGGAAUCACUGGGCGUAAAGAGCGCGUAGGCGGGAUAGCAAGUCAGAUGUGAAAUCCUAUGGCUUAACCAUAGAACUGCAUUUGAAACUGUUAUUCUAGAGUAUGGGAGAGGUAGGUGGAAUUCUCGGUGUAGCAGUGAAAUGCGUAGAUAUCGAGAGGAACACUCGUGGCGAAGGCGGGUUCCUGGACAUUAACUGACGCUGAGGCACGAAGGCCAGGGGAGCGAAAGGG